rnacentral:rRNA from 1 species
CCUGAGCCUUGUACACACCGCCCGUCAAGUCAUGGGAGCUGGUAGUACCCGAAGUCCCCUUAGCCAACCGUAAGGAGGCGGGGGCCGAUGGUAAGACCGGUGACUGGGACU